AAAAGUAGAUUGGCUAGUCUCGUUUUGUGGCCUUUGUUACUCGAGUUAUUAAGUCCGUCGGGGGAUUUCAAAACCUAGUGCCCUAAGACCGUUUGGUUUGGGAGUCACUGACCUAAAGUUCGCUACAUGGGUAACAUUGUUUGCCUAAGAAAACGGACAAAAUAAAGUCAAUGCAAAAAAAAAAAGAAAAAAAAAAGAAUAAGAGUUUGUGAAGUUUGGCUAGAUAUUUGUUUCGAUAGAGAUUGGGUCAGUUCAAAAUUGGUUGAAAAAGAGAAAGUGUUCUUAGACAAUUAGGAUCCAUCGAAGGCCUUAAAUUAUUUACACUCCUUGGAUUUCUAGUAAAUUUUUGUGUCGAUGCAAGUAGAUUAGAGACAACUGAAUCUUGAUUAUUAGUAGAUGAGUCUUUAAGUCGUAUUUUCCUUAAAAACGCUUUUUGUUAACACCAACAAAAUUAGAGUAGAGUCGAGUAGACACUUGCUAGAAUGUCUCGAAGAUUUUAUGGGUAUAUCUUCUGUAAACCCUUAGGAGACAAAACUCCUCUUGUAGAGAUCGUCUACGAGUUUAACGGGUUGGUGAACCUAAAAUCACCCGUCACGCCUACGAAAAGGAGCCUAGGAAUCGCAUCUAGUUUUCUUAGUUUAUUUUCUUUUCUUUUGAUUUUUACUCGAGGACGAGCAAAAGAUAGGUAUGGGGAAGUUUGAUUAGUCC
rnacentral:lncRNA from 1 species